UGCCAGCCGCCGCGGUAAUACGGAGGGGGUUAGCGUUGUUCGGAAUCACUGGGUGUAAAGCGUAUGUAGGCGGAUCAAAAAGUUAGAUGUGAAAUCCCUGGGCUCAACCCAGGAACUGCAUUUAAAACUAGUGAUCUAGAAUUUGGUAGGGGCCAGUAGAAUUCCGAGUGUAGAGGUGAAAUUCGUAGAUAUUCGGAGGAACACCAGUGGCGAAGGCGGCUCACUGGCUCGAUACUGACGCUGAGGUGCGAAAGCGUGGGGAGCAAACAGGAUUAGAUA
rnacentral:rRNA from 1 species